GGAAGUAGACGCUGGUGGGUGUUGGCUGGUGUCUGCCAGCGGGAGAAGCUGAAUAACACUCAAUUAGACGGACUAUAAUCUCACAGUCUUUGCGGGAAACUAGUUAAAGACAUGGAACAGUUACUGUGCCGUUUCCCCCCACCGUUUGGGACUUGAGAGGACCUCUGACUCUAGUGACCAGUCAUGGGAAAACCUUAACAGUGUGGGAGCUCAGAUUACGUCUGCCGUGUUUCAUGAGGCAGAGCUGGUUGUCUGCAGAGCACAAGGUGUUUGGCUUUCUUAAUUCAGUGUAAUUGAUUGGCAAAGAAUACCACAUUGAUUCAGUCACUCAGCCUGCCUGUGUCUGACACAGGAGUAAUAGCCACUCGACAUUUUCAUCUGCCAAAAUAAUGCCUUUUUUUUUCAGAGUCAGGUUGAACCCUUUAUCAUAUUGAAGAAGGUGGAGGUAGCAGCAGGGCAGAGAGGGAGAGGAGGCACGGGAACAGCUAAUGAGGUCAAAGAGUUCAAAUGCUGGGUCACGCAAACACUGUUGAGCAGGUUAAAGGAGCUGUCCACAGAAGUGUGUGGCACCUUUUUCUUCUGUCAUGUGACAUCCUCACACAGAGAGUGGAGCAGGCUAAACAGCAGCAGUCUGGCAAACGGGGGUGAUUCAGACGAGCAGAUGAACACAGUUAUGCAUGGACAAAUCCCAUGUUUGCUGGGUAGGUUUGACCAGCCAGCUGCCUGCAUGAUGAUGUGAGCCUUUAAUGUUCAUCCAAACUUGUUUUUUUUAAUCAACUUUGAAAGUUUUUUCUAGUGAAUAUCUAUCUAUUAGCUAUUAUUAUCUAAUAAUAUAAUAUUAUUAUAUAAUAUUAUUUAAUAAUAUUGAAACUAUGAUACAUCCUGUGAAAAAAGAUGCUGCAGUUAUUUUAAAAAAUGCUUUAAUUAGUUUCAAAUGAGAUUUUUGUGUUGAUCUCUCCCACACUCAUGAAGUUAUGAGGCCUCAGAAAUACUAAAAUCAUAAAUCAAACUUUAAGUCGGCCUUUUUAUUUACAGCAAGGUUUAUGAUAAGAAUGUAAAAAUGUGCUUGGCUGCAUUAUAUGGAUCAUAAUGUAUGUAAAUUUAGUGAAGUCUACCAAACAAGAGAGCAGCUGGUUCAAGUCCAGCCCUGAAUAAUAUUUCUUGAACUUGUGGCAACAUUUAGUAUAAGUCAACAGAACCGGCUCUGAGCUGCUUAUAUUUAAUUUUAAUUUCAAAUCAAAGCCACAUAAAACAUUUUAGACACUUGAGAUUAAAAGUGUUUGUCACGCCCUGCUCUGACUGAGCUCUUUGUAGAGGUUAGGUCACAAGUUGGCCUAAUUUUGGUACAUUAUAACAGUGCGUGCAAAAUAGCAUACCGCAAGGUACUUUCUAUAGUACAGGAAAUCUGUGGUCUACCAGUUCUAAAGCGAGGUUGAAAACUGCUCAUGGUUAUCACACUGUGCUUGAGCCGUGUGCAAAUUCCCUGCUGACUCGGCCUCAGGAUGUCUAGAGGCAAGAAUCAAGCGCACCCAAAUGAGCGCAUCAGUGGUCAUGUGCACAUCACGCAGAGGGAGAGUGAGAGAGGAAAGGCACAGCAGCAGAGCAUGGCAGUUGUAACGCAGUUUGUGUGAUUCCGUGUGCGUUAAUGAAACUGUGACGUGAUGAUGAUGCUCAUCUUCAUUUCCAACUGUGUGGGUGAUGGAGGCUGAGGAUUGUGUGGAUGAUCAGGAGCUUCACUCUCAAUCCUGACCUCCUCCUUCUGCUUCAGUGGUUUCUGGCUUCAUAACUUGGUCACCAUGGCGACCAUCUGGAUGACUGAGGUCCCUGAUUUGACUUUCUGAGAAUCAGGCUGGUGCUGAACAUCAGGCUGUUAACUGCAGAGCAUCAGACCUUAUCUGUGGAUCCUCCCGACGGUUUCUCUCCCAACUCCUGGAGUUGGAGGACAUGGAUUCAUGGAGGACUUCAGCUUCUUGCAGCUGCUCCUGCUGAUAGAUGUCAUUGCUGUCUUCUCCCUCUGCACUGGCUGCUACGUCUUCUUUGUUUCUGCUUUUCUCUUUGUCAUGACUGUGAAUCAGGCAGCUGUGCUGAAAAUAUGAUUGUUCUCCUUAUAAUAAAAGCUGGAAGCUGAAAAUCCUGCCUGUGCUGAGACAUUUUUUCAUGCAUGAUCUUCACAGCAAAAACAAACACAGGACAAAGGAAACUGUGGGUGAUGUCAUCUUUAGUUCAUAGAAAAAUAUAUAAAAAUAUUAAAGACACCACAUUCAUUUUAAGAGCCAAUCACAAAAUGAGUGUAGAUCAUUGAACCAAACAGCCCAGAAUGUGUUAUUAUUAUUAGUAUUCUUAAUAUUACUUAUCAGUAAUAUGGACAGUUGAAUGUUUUGGCACCUGCAUUAUUCUCAUUUUCAUUGUCAGACAUUAUCAGUUCUGUUGUUGGCUGAUUGUUGUAAACUUGUUAUAACAGAAGGGAGAUCGUUCUGGGCAGCAGAAAUGAGGAAACGUGAAAAAUGUGAAGAAACUGUUGACAGUAAUUUAUUAAAG
ensembl:lncRNA